UGCAAGCACCUGGUGGAGGUGGAGAUACUUCAGGUAUCUCCCUUCUUAUUAAUUCUCUUGGCACGUGGAAGAGGAACCUCCGUGACAACUUCAUAUCCUGCACUGUCUUUGGCUUGUAGUUUGGUUUCUCUUCAGAACAGGCCAGCCUCCUUUAGUUUAUGUUGUAUUUUAAUUUUCCAAGUCUUUUUGGUGUUUCAUUCUGUCUUUCUCAGUGUCUGUAGAGUGUUAUCGGUAUUGGAAAAGAUUGCCUGAUUUGCAAAGUUUGCAUGUUUUGUGCCUUUGGGCUCACGAACUGCAAGAUGCAAUUGAGAUGACUCUGAAGAGCACAAGGGUAAGACCCCCAUGAGGGCUUCCACCUGCUGCUGUCCUUGGCCUAUGUUACUGGCAGGCAGAGCUUUGUGGUAAGUGCAGUGAAUUUUCAUCACCAGGGAACAUUUUCAACAGGUGAAAGACAGUUUUAUGGCAACUCCAGAGGAGGGACUGCAAAGAGCAGAACGCAGAGGCAAGGAUGGUGGCUUCAAGUACUGUCUUUUCAGCUGCUUUGCAGGAACUGUGUCUAAACAAGCAGGAACAGGAAUGGCUGUCAGUGGAGUGCUUGACGGUAUCUUCAAAGCAGAAGAACAGAGUAAACAUUUGCUGAUCAGCUCCGUCUGGUGGUUUUCACUUAGAACAAUAAACCAGAACUCCCAAGCCCUAUCCUGACUCUGUGGCCAUCAUACUGGGUGGUCUUGGCACACCUUACAG
ensembl:lncRNA